rnacentral:rRNA from 1 species
AUUGAACGCUGGCGGCAGGCCUAACACAUGCAAGUCGAGCGAGCGGCGGACGGGUGAGUAAUGCCUAGGAAUCUGCCUGGUAGUGGGGGAUAACUCCUGGAAACGGUAGCUAAUAACGCAUACCAUCGGAUGUGCCUCGAGGGGAUUAGCUAGUAGGUGGGGUAAAGGCUCACCUAGGUGACGAUCCCUAGCUGGGCUGAGAGGAUGACCAGCCACACUGGAACUGAGACACGGUCCAGACUCCUACGGGAGGCAGCAGUGGGGAAGAUUGCACAAUGGGCGCAAGCCUGAUGCAGCCAUGCCGCGUGUAUGAAGAAGGCCUUCGGGUUGUAAAGUACUUUCAGCGGGGAGGCGUUACCCGCAGAAGAAGCACCGGCUAACUCCGUGCCAGCCGCCGCGGUAAUUC